rfam:Triticum aestivum genome assembly, contig: Triticum_aestivum_CS42_TGACv1_scaffold_195647_3AL
CGCCCUCUCCCUCUGUUCCGAAUUACUUGUCGCAGGUAUGGAUGUAUCUAGAUGUAUUUUAUUUCUAGAUACAUCCAUUUGUUCGAUGAGUAAUUUGGAACGGAGGGAGUAGUUG